GACGAACGCUGGCGGCGUGCUUAACACAUGCAAGUCGAACGGAAAGGCCCUGCUUUUGUGGGGUGCUCGAUUGGCGAACGGGUGAGUAACACGUGAGUAACCUGCCCUAGACUUUGGGAUAACUUCAGGAAACUGGGGCUAAUACCGGAUAGGAGCUCCUGCUGCAUGGUGGGGGUUGGAAAGUUUCGGCGGUCGGGGAUGGACUCGCGGGUUAUCAGCUUGUUGGUGGGGUAGUGGCUUACCAAGGCUUUGACGGGUAGCCGGCCUGAGAGGGUGACCGGGCACAAUGGGACUGAGAUACGGCCCAGACUCCUACGGGAGGCAGCAGUGGGGAAUAUUGCACAAUGGGCGGGAGCCUGAUGCAGCAACGCCGCGUGCGGGAUGACGGCCUUCGGGUUGUAAACCGCUUUCGCCUGUGACGAAGCGUGAGUGACGGUAAUGGGUAAAGAAGCACCGGCUAACUACGUG
rnacentral:rRNA from 1 species